UACUCCUACGGGAGGCAGCAGUGGGGAAUAUUGGACAAUGGACCGAGAGUCUGAUCCAGCAAUUCUGUGUGCACGAUGAAGUUUUUCGGAAUGUAAAGUGCUUUCAGUUGGGAAGAAACAAAUGACGGUACCAACAGAAGAAGUGACGGCUAAAUACGUGCCAGCAGCCGCGGUAAUACGUAUGUCACGAGCGUUAUCCGGAUUUAUUGGGCGUAAAGCGCGUCUAGGUGGUUAUGUAAGUCUGAUGUGAAAAUGCAGGGCUCAACUCUGUAUUGCGUUGGAAACUGUAUAACUAGAGUACUGGAGAGGUAAGCGGAGCUACAAGUGUAGAGGUGAAAUUCGUAGAUAUUCGUAGGAAUGCCGAUGGGGAAGCCAGCUUACUGGACAGAUACUGACGCUGAAGCGCGAAAGCGUGGGUAGCAAACAGGAUUAGAUACCCUGGUAGUCCACGCCGUAAACGAUGAUUACUAGGUGUUGGGGGUCGAACCUCAGCGCCCAAGCAAACGCGAUAAGUAAUCCGCCUGGGGAGUACGUACGCAAGUAUGAAACUCAAAGGAAUUGACGGA
rnacentral:rRNA from 1 species